rnacentral:miRNA from 13 species
CCUCCCACACCCAAGGCUUGCA